UAUCUCUUACCCAUGUCUUUUGAGUACCUUCGUUUCCUCGGCGGGUCCGCCCGCCGAUUGGACAAUUUAAACCAUUUGCAGUUGCAAUCAGCGUCUGAAAAAAACUUAAUAGUUACAACUUUCAACAACGGAUCUCUUGGUUCUGGCAUCGAUGAAGAACGCAGCGAAAUGCGAUAAGUAGUGUGAAUUGCAGAAUUCAGUGAAUCAUCGAAUCUUUGAACGCACAUUGCGCCCCUUGGUAUUCCAUGGGGCAUGCCUGUUCGAGCGUCAUUUGUACCUUCAAGCUCUGCUUGGUGUUGGGUGUUUGUCUCGCCUCUGCGCGCAGACUCGCCUCAAAACAAUUGGCAGCCGGCGUAUUGAUUUCGGAGCGCAGUACAUCUCGCGCUUUGCACUCAUAACGACGACGUCCAAAAGUACAUUUUUACACUCUUGACCUCGGAUCAGGUAGGGAUACCCGCUGAACUUAAGCAU
rnacentral:rRNA from 1 species